rnacentral:lncRNA from 1 species
UAAGUAACUAUUGGAACAUAUAUAACGCAAUACAUCAAUUUUCACACGGUUUCAAAACAAUAAUAAACCGCGUAGGUCGAGCCAAUCGGAAAUCAUUGUAUACACAUGGCGUCAGUCUAUUAUUGAAAAUCGUAACGAGUGGAUGUACGUUGUUCGAAAUAUAUAAUUGAGAAAACUUUUAUUAACAAGGAAAUAAUGAUAAAUUCGAUAAAUUUAAAAAAAUUGGAAUUCAACUGUUUUUUCCUAUUCUUCUAUAUUUCAACGAAGAAUAUAAAAUAAAGUUCCACCAAAAUUCGUAACAAAGAAAUCCUCGAAAAAUUUUCCCGCAACCUUGUGUCAAAUACCGAAAAACGGAUGGAAAAACCAACAACGGAUACCACGAAGUAUUUUCACGCUAGGCAAAGGUAACCAGAUAUGUUAAUGCCUGGUCGAUCGAGGUAAGUACGUAUUACCGUGCAACGUGUAACGUUAUCGGGACAGAAUUACCGCUCCAGAAAUGGUGCGUGGUCCGAGUUUCCUUUUAAAUGUGUUAUUUCGCGAAGCUCGUGCCCAAUCAUGCACGAAUGCAACAAUGAACAGGGUCGAAAUAGGGGGAUAGAAGAGGCAGAGACCGGUGAUUUGACCGGAGGCAGGCUCAACAAGCGUCGUAAGGAGAUUUCGUUAAGAAUACAAAAAUCUUAACAAUCAUCGAUCUUUGAAAAUGUUCAAACGGAGAUUCAUAAUAAUAACACAGAAUUUUUUAAACAGUUGUAAUGGAUUCUGAAAGCUUCAAGUAUCCCAUUCCUAGUUUUAAAAUUAUAUUUGAAUAAAUUAUAUGCAACAUGUUAUAACCUUCGAAAAUUAGAACCAUUCGAAAAAUCUUCAAAUCAUUUUGCUUUCGACUCUUCGAUCCGAUUUUCCUCAGAAAAUCAUUUUGAUAAAAAUAACGACACACGUCGAUUUCGUCUCGAUGGUUGGUCAAGUUCCUUAAAGGAGGGACGACAGGGUGGUUAUCGGAGCGGAGAUUUCGCAGCCCGUACGUUUCCCGUACGCCGUGUACACACAUAAGAACGUGGGGCCCGUAUUAUAGCAAUUCAAUAAUAAAUUGUAGAACGCUCGGUCGUCGCAUUAUGCGCCGGUAAUCACAGUAAUAAGCAGUUCUAAAAGUAACGUAAGUACGUUGUAGGUAGUAACGAGUGAGCCGUAAUCUCGGGGAUGCCCCUAUCUUCGUAGCUGGAGCCAUCCGAGGGAAUCAUGGGAAGUGUCUGCGUGUGUGUGAGAGAGUAAGAGAAAGAGAAAGAGAGAGGGAUGUACGUAAGUCGAUGGAAAGAUUCUGGGACGACGGAAUGACAGAGAGGGAGGAGGAGGAGGAGGAGGCUCGCGUUGGGAGAGGAGAGGAUGAGAAGAUGUUGCGCGAGAGAGGAGGCCAUGGGCGUCGUCCGUGGUGCGAUCUGGAAUCGGCAUAAUUUACAACACGACCAGGAAAUUGAGCCGCGUCCAGCCGAUGCAAAAGUACGCCGUGAGCGACCGCGAUCGAUCAUAGAUUCCUACCUUUUCUUCCGGCACCAGAUCACCCGAUUGAUGAAUUUCCGCCUAGGUGGAACCACCGGGAAACGAUUCAUCCUGGAAGAAUUUUCUCUGAUCCUUGCUUCGAAUCUUUGACAAUCUUUUCCUCGAGAUCGUUCUUUAUCUUGGGGAAUUCUAGCUAGUCUACGGUAAAGAAAAAGUAACUAGGAGCAAUUUUGGGGGGAAUUCGGAUUCGAUACGCACACAGUUGAUUCGAUUUUCAUACAGGAAGAAUGUUCUCGGAUCUCGUUAUUGGAUCUCUCGUACAAAGGAGAGAAAGAGAGAGAGAGAGGCGAAUCAUCAUUGGAGGAAUUGAAUUAAGUAGAUCUGUAAAGUUUGAUGCUCUCGUUACUAUCACACGAUAAAGAAGAGCGAAGUGUAUGUACGCCUAUGAAACGGGUGGAAGGGGACCCGCCGUACGUAGCCGUUAAGCCAACAUCUAAUUCGAUAACUGGCGAAAAUAAUAACGUAGCGAUCUGUUGCGUUCGCGAGGCGCAAUCAUCCGUUUCGUACCGGGUGUCCACAGAAAACUAUCGGCCCAUUCUCUCGCAGCUCGUUCCACCGACUUUUUUUCCCCCUUCUUCUUCUUUUUCUUUUUCUUCUUCUUCUUUUUCGAGCAUCGAGUUUGCGUUCCAUAGAAAUUAUUUUGCAAUAGUAAAGCAUAAUAUCAGUCCCAAUUGUUAGCUAUCCUACGCUUCCUCGCGAGAGAUAUAACAUUUCCUCUUCCUAGAAUUCCAUAGAUUAGAAAAAUUUGUUAGAGAUAAAACAACAGAUUUAUUAAUUCCAAAAUAAUUAAAUUUUUUCGACGAGA